rnacentral:rRNA from 1 species
ACGAAGGGGGCUAGCGUUGCUCGGAAUUACUGGGCGUAAAGGGCGCGUAGGCGGACAGUUUAGUCAGAGGUGAAAGCCCAGGGCUCAACCUUGGAAUUGCCUUUGAUACUGGCUGUCUUGAGUUCGGGAGAGGUGAGUGGAAUGCCGAGUGUAGAGGUGAAAUUCGUAGAUAUUCGGCGGAACACCAGUGGCGAAGGCGACUCACUGGCCCGAUACUGACGCUGAGGCGCGAAAGCGUGGGGAGCAAACAGG